rnacentral:lncRNA from 1 species
GGAUUUUGAUUCUGUGUUUAUGUUUAUGUGUUCCACCAAAAUAUUGAUGCUGGUUAACAAUUUGCUUGAACUUCUAUUUCAGUUUGAAAUCCAGGAAAACCAUGAGUGGAAAUUUUCAAACUAUAAGGAAGAGUGUCCUGAUAUCUGCUCCAAUCCUGCUUACAAUUUGCUAUCUGCCAGAUUCCCAAGGAAAGUGCUAGAUGCGGGCGUACAGAUGUGUGUAGCAGUACAACAUGUAUUCAUAAGGAAUUAUUGGCUCAUGUCAAUAAAACCCAAGUGUGACAAGUAUCAGGCUUCUGAAACAUGUAGAUCAAAAAAAACAGACAUGGUACAUUUGGAGGGUGAAAGAAAGGAGGGAUCCUGAAAACUUGGGUAUUGCUACCUUGAUUUCCUCAUCAAACAAUGCAAAGGAGGCGGAUCUUCCCAAGCCCACCUCUGGCUGAGAAGCUGUGGUGUCUCCCACUUCCUCUCCCUCAAACAGUGAUGAAGAAAGGAAAAAGGGAAUCCUCUUGUCUAGGAUGGGAGAAGGGUGAGUACCAGCUCUUACAGGUGUGGUAGAGGGGAAGAGGAGUGUGAGAGGGAGGAAGCUUCCAAGCAGUGAAUGUAUCACAUCACAAGUGACUGUCCUGCACUUAUGACAGCAGACGAUCAGGUCUCUCUGGUUCCCUGUUAACCUGUGCCUUCUGUUCUGUGCUGCAGCUGCUGCUGACACAGCAGCAAUAGGCCAAACCUCAAAAGCACGGGGC